AGCGUACACGGUGGAUGCCCUGGCAGUCAGAGGCGAUGAAGGGCGUGCUAAUCUGCGAUAAGCGCCGGUAAGGUGAUAUGAACCGUUAUAACCGGCGAUACCCGAAUGGGGAAACCCAGUGUGACUCGUCACACUAUCAUUAACUGAAUCCAUAGGUUAAUGAGGCGAACCGGGGGAACUGAAACAUCUAAGUACCCCGAGGAAAAGAAAUCAACCGAGAUUCCCCCAGUAGCGGCGAGCGAACGGGGAGGAGCCCAGAGCCUGAAUCAGCAUGUGUGUUAGUGGAAGCGUCUGGAAAGGCGCGCGAUACAGGGUGACAGCCCCGUACACAAAAGCGCAUGUGCUGUGAGCUCGAUGAGUAGGGCGGGACACGUGGUAUCCUGUCUGAAUAUGGGGGGACCAUCCUCCAAGGCUAAAUACUCCUGACUGACCGAUAGUGAACCAGUACCGUGAGGGAAAGGCGAAAAGAACCCCGGCGAGGGGAGUGAAAAAGAACCUGAAACCGUGUACGUACAAGCAGUGGGAGCACCCUUCGGGGUGUGACUGCGUACCUUUUGUAUAAUGGGUCAGCGACUUAUAUUCUGUAGCAAGGUUAACCGUAUAGGGGAGCCGGAGGGAAACCGAGUCUUAACCGGGCGUUAAGUUGCAGGGUAUAGACCCGAAACCCGGUGAUCUAGCCAUGGGCAGGUUGAAGGUUGGGUAACACUAACUGGAGGACCGAACCGACUAAUGUUGAAAAAUUAGCGGAUGACCUGUGGCUGGGGGUGAAAGGCCAAUCAAACCGGGAGAUAGCUGGUUCUCCCCGAAAGCUAUUUAGGUAGCGCCUCGUGAAUUCAUCUCCGGGGGUAGAGCACUGUUUCGGCUAGGGGGCCAUCCCGGCUUACCAACCCGAUGCAAACUGCGAAUACCGGAGAAUGUUAUCACGGGAGACACACGGCGGGUGCUAACGUCCGUCGUGAAGAGGGAAACAACCCAGACCGCCAGCUAAGGUCCCAAAGUCAUGGUUAAGUGGGAAACGAUGKGGGAAGGCCCAGACAGCCAGGAUGUUGGCUUAGAAGCAGCCAUCAUUUAAAGAAAGCGUAAUAGCUCACUGGUCGAGUCGGCCUGCGCGGAAGAUGUAACGGGGCUAAACCAUGCACCGAAGCUGCGGCAGCGAACGUAUCACCCAAGACAACUUUACGGAGUUGACGAUUGACGGAGCGAAGCGACGUCAAAGCGUUCAUUAAAGUCGAGUUGGCUUAGGGAUACGUUCGUUGGGUAGGGGAGCGUUCUGUAAGCCUGUGAAGGUGUGUCGUGAGGCAUGCUGGAGGUAUCAGAAGUGCGAAUGCUGACAUAAGUAACGAUAAAGCGGGUGAAAAGCCCGCUCGCCGGAAGACCAAGGGUUCCUGUCCAACGUUAAUCGGGGCAGGGUGAGUCGACCCCUAAGGCGAGGCCGAAAGGCGUAGUCGAUGGGAAACGGGUUAAUAUUCCCGUACUUGGUGUUACUGCGAAGGGGGGACGGAGAAGGCUAUGUUGGCCGGGCGACGGUUGUCCCGGUUUAAGCGUGUAGGUGUGUGUUCCAGGUAAAUCCGGUUCACUUUAACACUGAGGCGUGACGACGAGGCACUACGGUGCUGAAGCAACAAAUGCCCUGCUUCCAGGAAAAGCCUCUAAGCAUCAGGUAACAUCAAAUCGUACCCCAAACCGACACAGGUGGUCAGGUAGAGAAUACCAAGGCGCUUGAGAGAACUCGGGUGAAGGAACUAGGCAAAAUGGUGCCGUAACUUCGGGAGAAGGCACGCUGACACGUAGGUGAAGUGAUUUACUCAUGGAGCUGAAGUCAGUCGAAGAUACCAGCUGGCUGCAACUGUUUAUUAAAAACACAGCACUGUGCAAACACGAAAGUGGACGUAUACGGUGUGACGCCUGCCCGGUGCCGGAAGGUUAAUUGAUGGGGUCAGCGCAAGCGAAGCUCCUGAUCGAAGCCCCGGUAAACGGCGGCCGUAACUAUAACGGUCCUAAGGUAGCGAAAUUCCUUGUCGGGUAAGUUCCGACCUGCACGAAUGGCGUAAUGAUGGCCAGGCUGKCUCCACCCGAGACUCAGUGAAAUUGAACUCGCUGUGAAGAUGCAGUGUACCCGCGGCAAGACGGAAAGACCCCGUGAACCUUUACUAUAGCUUGACACUGAACAUUGAGCCUUGAUGUGUAGGAUAGGUGGGAGGCUUUGAAGUGUGGACGCCAGUCUGCAUGGAGCCGACCUUGAAAUACCACCCUUUAAUGUUUGAUGUUCUAACGUGGACCCGUAAUCCGGGUUGCGGACAGUGUCUGGUGGGUAGUUUGACUGGGGCGGUCUCCUCCUAAAGAGUAACGGAGGAGCACGAAGGUUGGCUAAUCCUGGUCGGACAUCAGGAGGUUAGKGCAAUGGCAUAAGCCAGCUUGACUGCGAGCGUGACGGCGCGAGCAGGUGCGAAAGCAGGUCAUAGUGAUCCGGUGGUUCUGAAUGGAAGGGCCAUCGCUCAACGGAUAAAAGGUACUCCGGGGAUAACAGGCUGAUACCGCCCAAGAGUUCAUAUCGACGGCGGUGUUUGGCACCUCGAUGUCGGCUCAUCACAUCCUGGGGCUGAAGUAGGUCCCAAGGGUAUGGCUGUUCGCCAUUUAAAGUGGUACGCGAGCUGGGUUUAGAACGUCGUGAGACAGUUCGGUCCCUAUCUGCCGUGGGCGCUGGAGAACUGAGGGGGGCUGCUCCUAGUACGAGAGGACCGGAGUGGACGCAUCACUGGUGUUCGGGUUGUCAUGCCAAUGGCACUGCCCGGUAGCUAAAUGCGGAAGAGAUAAGUGCUGAAAGCAUCUAAGCACGAAACUUGCCCCGAGAUGAGUUCU
rnacentral:rRNA from 1 species